rnacentral:rRNA from 1 species
AUGCCACCCGCGCCGGCGACGGCCACGGCGGCGGCGGCGGUGCUGCACCUGGAGCCCUUCCUCCCUUGCCUGACCACGUUCUCACACUACAAGCAGUUCCACGCGCAGCUCAUCACCUCGGCCCGCCUCUACUUUGAGCCCUCCCUCCGAGCCCGCUUCCUCGACCGCCUCGCGCUCUCCGCGCACGCCGCGGCGCUGCCGCACGCCCUCCUCCUCCUCCGCUCCCUCCCGUCCCCCGCCACCAACGACCUCAACGCCGCCCUCCGGGGCCUCGCCGCCUCCCCGCACCCCGCGCGCUCGCUGCUCCUCCUCGCCGGCCGCCUCCUCCCCUCGCCGUCCCCGCCGCGGCCCCGCCUCGACGCGCUCUCCCUCUCCUUCGCGCUGAAGGCCUCCGCCCGGUGCUCCGACGGGCCCGCCACCCUCCAGCUCCACGCGCUCGUCCUCUGCCUCGGCUGCACGGCCGACGUCCGGCUGAUCACCACGCUGGUCGACUCGUAUGCGAAAUGCGACGACCUCGCGUCCGCACGGAACGUGUUCGAUGGAAUGACCGUGCGCGACGUGGCCUCGUGGAAUGCACUGCUUGCUGGGCUGGCUCAGGGGACUGAGCCUACCCUGGCCCUGAAGCUGUUCCACAGACUGGUAGGGAGCUUCCGGGAGCUGCCACCAAGGGAGGCACCCAAUGAGGUGACCAUGGUUGCCGCGCUUUCUGCGUGUGCACAGAUUGGCUCGUUACAGGACGGGUUGUAUGUGCAUGAGUUUGUUCGCAAAAUGGGCGUCAGCGGCAAUGUUCGUGUUUGCAAUGCACUUAUUGACAUGUACUCCAAGUGCGGUUCAUUGGCCCGGGCGCUGGAAGUGUUCCACUCCAUCAAACGAGAAGACCGGACACUUGUGUCAUACAAUACUGCGAUACAAGCAAUUUCCAUGCAUGGGCAUGGGGGUGACGCACUAAAGUUGUUUGAUGAAAUGCCGACAUCUAUUGAGCCGGACGAAGUGACCUACAUCGCUGUGUUGUGCGGAUGCAACCAUGCUGGGCUCGUGGAUGAUGGCCUCAGGGUUUUUCAUGGCAUGAGGGUUCCUCCCAAUGUAAAGCACUACGGCACUGUUGUGGACCUUCUUGGCCGUGCAGGCCGCCUUGCCGAGGCAUAUGAUACCAUUAAGUCCAUGCCGUUUCCUGCAGAUAUUGUCCUCUGGCAGACAUUGCUGGGUGCGUCCAAGACGCAUGGUGAUGUUGAGCUCGCGGAGUUAGCUGCUACAAAGCUUGCCGAGCUUGGUUCAAAUGUUGAUGGUGACUAUGUGCUCCUCUCUAAUGUAUAUGCGUCAAAGGCACGGUGGGCAGAUGUUGGUCGAGUCCGUGAUACCAUGCGAAGCAAUGAUGUGCGGAAAGUACCUGGCUUCAGCUACACAGAGAUAAGUGGUGUAAUGCAUAAGUUCAUUAAUGGUGAUAAAGAGCACCCAAGGUUGCAGGAGAUUUACAGAGCGCUAGAGGAAAUUGUAUCAAGAAUAGGUGAGCUGGGAUAUGAGCCAGAAACAAGUAAUGUGCUUCAUGACAUCGGGGAGGAGGAGAAGCAGUAUGCAUUGUCUUAUCAUAGCGAAAAGCUGGCCAUUGCAUUUGGGCUGAUUGCCACGCCACCUGGGGAGACCUUGCGGGUGAUAAAAAAUCUCCGAAUAUGUGGGGACUGUCAUGUAGUGGCAAAACUCAUAUCUAAAGCCUAUGGCCGAGUGAUUAUAAUCAGGGAUAGAGCAAGAUUCCAUCGGUUUGAAGAUGGGCAGUGCUCUUGCGGCGAUUACUGGUAA